UGGGGAAUCUUGCGCAAUGGGCGAAAGCCUGACGCAGCGACGCCGCGUGAGUGAUGAAGGCCUUCGGGUUGUAAAGCUCUGUGGGGAGAGAAGAAUUAGUAGAAGCUAAUACCUUCUAUGAUGACGGUAUCUCCUUAGCAAGCACCGGCUAACUCUGUGCCAGCAGCCGCGGUAAGACAGAGGGUGCAAACGUUGUUCGGAAUUACUGGGCGUAAAGCGAGUGUAGGCGGUCUCAUAAGUCGGGUGUGAAAGCCCUGGGCUCAACCCAGGAAGUGCACUCGAAACUGCGAGGCUAGAGUAUCGGAGAGGUUGGUGGAAUUCUCGGUGUAGAGGUGAAAUUCGUAGAUAUCGAGAGGAACACCGGUGGCGAAGGCGGCCAACUGGACGAAUACUGACGCUGAGACUCGAAAGCGUGGGGAGCAAACAGGAUUAGAUACCCCUGUAGUCC
rnacentral:rRNA from 1 species